rnacentral:rRNA from 1 species
GACGAACGCUGGCGGCGUGCCUAACACAUGCAAGUCGAGCGAUUCUCUUCGGAGAAGAGCGGCGGACGGGCGAGUAACGCGUGGGUAACCUGCACUAUACACACGGAUAACGUAUCGCAAGGUACGAGAAAACGAGAUAACAUAAGAAAUUCGAAUGGAUUAUUUAACGAAGAUCUGACGGUAUAGGAGGGGCCCGCGUGUGAUUAGCUAGUUGGUAAGGUAAUGGCUUACCAAGGCGACGAUCAGUAGCCGAACAGAGAGGGUGAGCGGCCACAUUGGAACUGAGCCACGGUCCAAACUCCUACGGGAGGCAGCAGUGGGGAAUAUUGCACAAUGGGCGAAAGGCUGACGCAGCAACGCCGCGUGAGCGAUGAAGGCCUUCGGGUCGUAAAGCUCUGUCCUCAAGGAAGAUGAUGACGGUACUUGAGGAGGAAGCCCCGGCUAACUACGUGCCAGCAGCCGCCGUAA